CCUACGGGGGACAGCAGUGGGGAAUAUUGGACAAUGGGGGGAACCCUGAUCCAGCCAUGCCGCGUGUGUGAAGAAGGCCCUCGGGUUGUAAAGCACUUUCAGUGAGGAAGAACGCCUGGUGGUUAAUACCCAUCAGGAAAGACAUCACUCACAGAAGAAGCACCGGCUAACUCCGUGCCAGCAGCCGCGGUAAUACGGAGGGUGCGAGCGUUAAUCGGAAUUACUGGGCGUAAAGCGCGCGUGGGUGGCUUGAUAAGCCGGUUGUGAAAGCCCCGGGCUCAACCUGGGAACGGCAUCCGGAACUGUCAAGCUAGAGUGCAGGAGAGGAAGGUAGAAUUCCCGGUGUAGCGGUGAAAUGCGUAGAGAUCGGGAGGAAUACCAGUGGCGAAGGCGGCCUUCUGGACUGACACUGACACUGAGGUGCGAAAGCGUGGGUAGCAAACAGGAUUAGAUACCCCUGUAGUC
rnacentral:rRNA from 1 species